UACGAUGGGAGCAAGCGUUGUUCGGAUUUACUGGGCGUAAAGGGCGCGUAGGCGGUCGUGACAAGUCACUUGUGAAAUCUCCGGGCUUAACUCGGAACGGUCAAGUGAUACUGUCGGACUAGAGUACAGAAGGGGCAACUGGAAUUCUCGGUGUAGCGGUGAAAUGCGUAGAUAUCGAGAGGAACACCUGCGGCGAAGGCGGGUUGCUGGGCUGAUACUGACGCUGAUGCGCGAAAGCCAGGGGAGCGAACGGG
rnacentral:rRNA from 1 species